CGGGUGAGUAACACGUGGAUAACCUACCUAUAAGACUGGGAUAACUUCGGGAAACCGGAGCUAAUACCGGAUAAUAUUUUGAACCGCAUGGUUCAAAAGUGAAAGACGGUCUUGCUGUCACUUAUAGAUGGAUCCGCGCUGCAUUAGCUAGUUGGUAAGGUAACGGCUUACCAAGGCAACGAUGCAUAGCCGACCUGAGAGGGUGAUCGGCCACACUGGAACUGAGACACGGUCCAGACUCCUACGGGAGGCAGCAGGA
rnacentral:rRNA from 1 species